rnacentral:rRNA from 1 species
AUUGAACGCUGGCGGCAGGCUUAACACAUGCAAGUCGAACGCUUGUCGCACGCGUGUGUGACGUCUGUGAACCUCCCCGCUUUAGGGGGAUAACUACUGUAAACGGUAGCUAAUACCGCAUACCAUCGCAUUUUCCCAGAUGGGUUUAGCUAGUGGGGGGGGUAACGGCUCUCCUAGGCGACGAACCCUCGCUGGUCUGAGAGGAUGACCAGCAACACUGGAACUGAGACACGGCCCAGACUCCUACGGGUGGCAGAAGUGGGGAAUAUUGCACAAUGGGCGCAAGCCUGAGACAGCCAUGCCGCGUGUAUGAAGAAGGCCUUCGGGUUGUAAAGUACUUUCAGCGAGGAGGCGUUACUCGCAGAAGAAGCACCGGCUAACUCCGUGCCAGCCGCCGCGGUAAUUC